rnacentral:rRNA from 1 species
AGAAUCAACGCUGGCGGCGUGCCUCAGACAUGCAAGUCGAACGCGAAAGUCCCCUUCGGGGGGCAAGUAGAGUGGCGCACGGGUGAGUAACACGUAGGUAAUCUACCUUCGGAUGGGGAGUAACAAUCGGAAACGGUUGCUAAUACCGCAUAAUGCAGCGGCACCUAAUGGUGACAGUUGUUAAAGCGGGGGAUCGAAAGACCUCGCGUCUGAAGAGGAGCCUGCGGCGGAUUAGCUAGUUGGUAAGGUAAUGGCUUACCAAGGCUACGAUCC